AGUAGGCAAUGGCGGAAGCGGCGCCAUUCUUUGAAACGAAGAAACGAAGGAAGAUGAAGAAGACGUCAGAAGAAAGAAAGAGACGAAGAAGAGAUUUCGUUAGGAGAGACAAAAAGAAUGAGAAGCUCGGGGAAGAAGAAAAGGCCGUCAUAUCGAACUGUCGCAUCGAAGCAAGUUUCGAGGUCGGCUAUAAUGAUGAAUAGACAACGAAGCAAGUUUCGAGGUCGGCUAUAAUGAUGAAUAGA
rnacentral:lncRNA from 1 species